rnacentral:piRNA from 1 species
UGACUGGAUCCACCAGUUGGGCAC